rnacentral:lncRNA from 12 species
CCAUUACCACGGAAACUCUCAAACAUAAAGGCCAAGCCAAUGUUUCGGCCAUUGCCUUUGCCCAUCACCAUCUUCCCCAUGACCUUCGCCAGAAUUGAGCGUGGUUAGGGAUGAUGUGAGUAGGAUGGAUGGAUGAUGCAGGAUGGAUGUUCAUGAGUCCAGCUUGGCAAGCACUGCAGCUUUCCUAUGUGAGCAAGACUCGAGCCGAUCAUGCUUCUGGUGUGCUCUAUGUUUCUAUCUCUGGUGUCAGAAGAGGGAACUGAAGGAGAUCCCCUGGUGGCCCCCUGAAGUGCUCCGUCAAUCUGUGCAAAUGUGUGUUUUGUGGAGUUAUCUUACUCCAGACAAGAUGUUCUUGGCUGAACUUCAGGACAUCCUGAUUCUGUUUACAGGUGAAACCUUGGACAGGUUCCUUAGAUUUUCUGACGACUUCUGUAACCAAAAGUACUCAAGGGACAACACCUCCAUUCAUGAACUCAGCAACUGCAUUAGGCCAUACCAGGCUGGCACUUCAGUUGCAGUAGUCAACAUCACUGGUGUCAAGAAUUCAUCAAGAACAAAAGGAUUCAGGGACACCUGGGUGGCUCAGUGUGUUGAGUAUCUGCCUUCAGUUUGGGUCAUGAUCUCAAGGUCCUGGGAUCAAGCCCUGAAGCAGACUCCCUGCUCAGUGGGGAGUCUGUUUUUCCCUUCCCCACUGUGCUCACUCUCUCUUUAA